rnacentral:rRNA from 1 species
GCAACUCGACUCCAUGAAGCUGGAUUCGCUAGUAAUCGCGCAUCAGCCAUGGCGCGGUGAAUACGUUCCCGGGCCUUGUACACACCGCCCGUCACACCAUGAGAGUUGGGAAUACCCGAAGCCUGUGAGCUAACUUUUAGAGGCAGCAGUCGAAGGUAGAAUCAAUGAUUGGGGUGAAGUCGUAACAAGGUACC